rnacentral:pre_miRNA from 1 species
CAUCUACUCCCUCCGUUCCAAAUUACUCGUCACAGAAAUGGAUGUAUCUAGAACUAAAAUACAUCUAAAUACAUCCAUACCUGCGACAAGUAAUUCGGAACGGAGGGAGUAGAUG